GCUGCCCCGGCGCCCCGCCUCCUCCAAUCAGCGGCCGGGCUGGCGGGCAGGGGUUAACCAGGGGACCCCGCGCGGCGAAGGAGGCCGCCGCCUCGCCGGGCGGCUGGGCGCGGGCGGACGGGCGGCGCCGGCGGACGGGCCGCGCCGCGGAGGGAGGUCGGGCCGCCCCGAGACCUGCCCGGCCCGGAGCCCCGGAGCCCCGGAGCCCCCGAGCCCCGCUGCCGUCUUUGUAUGAGCGGCCCCGGCCGAGGCGGUCGGACCGGCAUCCUGGGCCGCGGACCGGCGCUGGAGGGGCCUCGCCGCCCGGGCCAGGCGCUUCCCGCGUGCGCCUGGCCGGACCCCGCGCCCGCCUAACCCCUCGGCUUCACGAGUUCGGGUGAGAAGCGAGGCUGCUCUGGGGAUCCAGGGACGGAUUUCGGAGGAAGAAAGCCCGUGAGCCGGCGGACCCGCCCGAACUUCCCCGGAGACGCCCGGUCAGUGAGUUCGCUGUGCCCACCCGUGGUGGCUGUCCCGCGACCGUCCCGCUCCCCUGACCCACACCUGCCGCCCUGGAAAGCGGACAGCAUUUUCCCUCCACAUACCUGGUUGGCAGGGCGUCUCCAGGGACAAAAGGUGCCCUGGGAUGAAGCCGAGCCCCCGCCCCCACCAGGAUGCUGCCCUCCGGAAGGGGGGCGCUGCCCCAAAGGGACUCUCCCCAGGGCACCCAGGGGGAGGUUCCAUUUCAACCUCUGAUUAAAAACACGGCCCUCUUGGGUACUUAGCGGAGUCUGAGGAUAAGUGCUGGAAGGAAAAAAAAAGACUGCCCCUCACAGGAUGUCUGCUGAGGAAUGAGAAAUAGGAAAAGUUUCUGUGCUGGCCCUCUGCUGCCUACAGCAUAAAGCUCCAGCUUCUCAGCAUGGCAGUUGAGGCCUCCGCCAUCUGUCUGGGAGGAACUGACUGAAGACAUUUCCAAUUCUCACGAGAUAGUCUGAGCACUGCCCCACCCACUGUCCUUCCAGAGCAGCCGUGAUCCUGUCCAUUUGCCGCUCUUCCCCAUAAAUGGGUCUUUGUGAAAUUCUACCCCUUUGGCCAGACACCAUCACUCCAUCCCCAUCCACCUGGAAAAACCCUUCAUCCUUCAAGAGACUGCCCCUGCCUGGCGGUGACUGCUCUGUGACAGCCUCCCCGCGGAGUCCUGCUCCUCUGUGCUCCAGGAAAAUGCAACUCACAGCAAGAAUAGAUAAAGAGGCAUCAUUUCCAUAAGAAUAAAUGUAAAGAGGCUGGAUUUCACCCCUCACUCCCGAUCCUUCUCCCAAACAGUUAGACUGCCCCACGUGCCUACAGAAACGUUAAAGACUUUACACAACAAUUCCUCCCACAAAUCUGCCUCCAGAGACAGUGUGAGCGGGGCAGGGGGGCAGGCAGAGUGAGGGCUUCACCCAUGCCCACCACCAUCAACUCUGCCCUCCUUCGGGGAGGCCGAGGCCCACAGGGCCCCGGCCACACGGUGACUGUCAUGGGUGCUGGGCACUUCUGCUUUCACGGGCCCUUUUCUCCAAUCAAAAAGAAUUUUUUUUUUCUACAGUCUUGUUGGUAUAAAAGCAAACAUAAUGUAGGCUGCCUUCAUUAUCAUUUUAUUCAUUACUAUCAUAUUCAUUUUUUUCUUCUGGUUUUAAAAUAAAAUUAAAACAUUUUCAAGGGCCCCUGAAAGCAUCGUGGGCCCAAGACACUGCGCCCUGAGGAGACCGCGCCCUGGGCCUGAUGGAGCCGCUGACCCUGCCUGAGGGAAAAAGCCUGAAAUUCCUUAUGAGCUUUCACUGCUCUUGAGACUUUAGAGAAGAAAUGCAGAUUAUGCUUUCUGCUACAAUCUUAUCAAGGUUUAUUCCGUGCAGGGGAAAGUUACCAUGGGACAUACCAUCAAUAUAACUGCCUGUUCUGAAGUGUGUCUUACACAAAUGAGUCAUAAAUACAGAACAGCCCACUGAGGUUGGCAUUCAAUGCUGUUCUCUGCAAGGAGUUAGGAUUGAGUUAUGGGGGCCACUAGGGCUCCUGGGUUGUUAUUAUUGUUUAUACUCCAUUUACAGUUGAGGAAAUUGAGACUCAGAGGAAGCCAGUAACUGGGCCAAGACGAAGCAAAGAACAAACGAAACAAUGGCUCCAGGAUUUCAGCCCCAGUCUGGGCUCUUUUGAGCUGCUUUGGACAGAUUGAGUUUGAGGUGCCCGAGGGCCUUCUCGGGAGAAAGACAUCCAGGAGGCAUUUAGAUAAACUAGUUCAAGGCUCAAGUGAGAUCCUUAGCUCGUGACACAGAUUUGGGAAUUAUCCGAGUGCUGGUGGCGUUUAAAGAUUCCAAGUGGACCAGCUCUGUUGCAGUCUCUCUGCAGAAUGGGGCCCAGGCCAACAGCGUCCUAGAAUGGUUUCUGUGCCUUUAAGCUAUCCUGAGUGGCCUCCUCCCUCGGGGAGCCGGGCUGCCCUGCUCCCUCCUUGCUCUCACUCCCUACUUGUUCCUGGGUACCCAGGCUUCUGGGAAACGCUUAGGGGGCGCCUUCUCCCCACAGGCCCUGGGCUACCAGGCGUGGGCUUCCAUUUCCAGCCCUUCUGUUUCUCGCUGGAUUAGAUGACGGAACUCGACCUUCCUCUCUUUGAUGCUUGAUGCUCGCUAUGGACCCAGCACCUGAGUGACAUUCUAUGUACUCACUCACCCAGUAAGUAUUUACUGAGCACCUACUAUGUGCCAGAAACCAUUGUAGGUACUAAGGAGACAACUGUGAGCAAAGUAGACAAAGUCUCUUGACCCCAAGGAGCUUAUAGUCUGGAGGCAGGAGGCAGAGAAUAAACAAAUCAGAAUAGUAGCCAUGGGUCACAAGGAACAUAAAGCCACAUAAUUUGAUGUGACUGAGGGCAUGGGAGGGCUGGGGGGGAGGCUUGGUGGUGACACUGGUCAAGGCCGUCGGCAGGGAAGGACUCUCAGAGGGGGACAUCUGAGCUGAGACCUGAAUGAGGAGGAGGCACCAGCCGUGAGAAGAUGGGGACAGGCAGGACCUUUCUGGCAGGAGCAGCAAGUCCUGAGGGGUCUUGGCAUGUCUGGAAGGCCCACCUGAUGGGACAGCGGAGGGGGGCUUGGAAAGGCAGGAAGAGCCGCAGGCGGGCAGGGGUCCCGCCCUGUUAGACAAGGCCCAGCCCAGGGUGGCCAAGGGUCAGCUGAGAGAUGGGAAGGGAAAAAUAGAAGUUGAGAGAAGACGACUCUUUCCUACGGAAGGAGAAAGGGAGAAAGAAGGAGCAAGAAAGAAGCAGGAGUGGGACUGGCAGCACAGCUUGCAGGGCCCCUUGUGAAAAAACCAUCAAGAAUUUUAAGAUGGUGACAGCAGGGCCUUGAACCUAGCGUGGCUCUUCUGAGCGCCUGGUGCUGUGUGACUGAAGAGGACACAGCCCACGACGCAGUCCCAGGGCCCGGUGUAGACCCUCGGGAAGAUGAAGUGGCAGAAUCCAGGUCCCCCUUUCACCCCAGACUGAGCCAAACCUCACAGGCAGCACCGCCCACACAGGGUGAAACUGAGGAUUAAAGUUUUCUAUUUUCAGGAAAA